AAAUGUAAUCAUGGUGGAAACGUUUGUCCUAGGAAGUCAGCCGAGGUCAUAGUAGUGAUGAUGAUAACUGUAAUGGUUAUCUAGCGAAGGAC
rfam:Clostridium spiroforme DSM 1552 Scfld_02_10 genomic scaffold, whole genome shotgun sequence.